GAACCACUGAGAGAAAUCCCUGGCUCCUUGAAUACAUUUAAAAAAAAUAUGCUCUGGGUUCAGGACUUGGCUUCAGGGAGCUGUUCCAUCCUCAUCAGCAGACAGCAUCCGUGUCCAGCCAGCUUCUCGAGGACGGACAGAGGCCUCUGCGGAUUCCUCGGGGACUGCAGGUGUGGGCUUUGGGCUUGUCAACACCAGACAAGUUUUGGCAAAGCAGGGCUGGGAGGCUGGUGAGCUCUUACGUGUCCCGUGUUUCUCCUCCUUGCCUCCUUUCACUGUUGCUAACACUGCCUGGAUCACAGUCAUCCUCAUUUCUUUCCUAUUGUCUUCUCUUUGUCUGCUCUUCUCUUGUCUUUUUUGCUUCUGCCACCAAAGUGAACCUUAGAAAUCACCCUUUGGAGCUCCUCUGCUCCAAGUCUUUCUUGAUCCAGGGCUGCCCAACCUUCUAGAACCCUGGCUCACCCUUCCCCACCUCUGAGGUUCUGCUGAGCGACCUCAGCCCUCCCUCCUCUUUUCUAGAGUCAGUUGCUCUUUGAAUGAGAACCUCAACUUUCCCCUGGCCAGCUUUGGGGUUCAGUGCAUGGAUCAUCUCUGGUGUCACCAGCUGGGCUGCGUUGGACAUUGCUCCCUGGAUCCCAGUAAACCACACCUGGCUCAUCCCCCACUACGGUCCACAGCCCUCAUUCUUCAGUGUCUACUGAACUACUGGAUCCAGCAGGAGUAACUGCGCUACACAAGUGCCGAGAUUGAGAGGGUCUUCAUUCUGCUCAGAACAAUGUCAAAGUUUGCCCCACGAAGGCUUUCUGCAGCCUGACACACCGGCCUCACUAUUCUUUCUGUGUGAGAUCCUACCCGCUACACUGUUCUCGGCUAUAAAAGACUCUA